rnacentral:rRNA from 1 species
GAUGAACGCUGGCGGCGUGCUUAACACAUGCAAGUCGAACGGAAAGGCCCAAGCUUGCUUGGGUACUCGAGUGGCGAACGGGUGAGUAACACGUGGGUGAUCUGCCCUGCACUUCGGGAUAAGCCUGGGAAACUGGGUCUAAUACCGGAUAGGACGAUGGUUUGGAUGCCAUUGUGGAAAGUUUUUUCGGUGUGGGAUGAGCUCGCGGCCUAUCAGCUUGUUGGUGGGGUAAUGGCCUACCAAGGCGUCGACGGGUAGCCGGCCUGAGAGGGUGUACGGCCACAUUGGGACUGAGAUACGGCCCAGACUCCUACAGGAGGCAGCAGUGGGGAAUAUUGCACAAUGGGCGCAAGCCUGAUGCAGCGACGCCGCGUGGGGGAUGACGGCCUUCGGGUUGUAAACUCCUUUCGCUAGGGACGAAGCGUUUUUGUGACGGUACCUGGAGAAGAAGCACCGGCUAACUACGUG